rnacentral:rRNA from 1 species
AUGAACGCUAGCGACAGGCUUAACACAUGCAAGUCGAGGGGCAGCACAGGUAGCAAUACCGGGUGGCGACCGGCGCACGGGUGAGUAACGCGUAUGCAACUUGCCUAUCAGAGGGGGAUAACCCGGCGAAAGUCGGACUAAUACCGCAUGAAGCAGGGGCCCCGCAUGGGGAUAUUUGCUAAAGAUUCAUCGCUGAUAGAUAGGCAUGCGUUCCAUUAGGCAGUUGGCGGGGUAACGGCCCACCAAACCGACGAUGGAUAGGGGUUCUGAGAGGAAGGUCCCCCACAUUGGUACUGAGACACGGACCAAACUCCUACGGGAGGCAGCAGUGAGGAAUAUUGGUCAAUGGCCGAGAGGCUGAACCAGCCAAGUCGCGUGAGGGAUGAAGGUUCUAUGGAUCGUAAACCUCUUUUAUAAGGGAAUAAAGUGCGGGACGUGUCCCGUUUUGUAUGUACCUUAUGAAUAAGGAUCGGCUAACUCCGUGCCAGCAGCCGCGGUAAUACGGAGGAUCCGAGCGUUAUCCGGAUUUAUUGGGUUUAAAGGGUGCGUAGGCGGCCUUUUAAGUCAGCGGUGAAAGUCUGUGGCUCAACCAUAGAAUUGCCGUUGAAACUGGGGGGCUUGAGUAUGUUUGAGGCAGGCGGAAUGCGUGGUGUAGCGGUGAAAUGCAUAGAUAUCACGCAGAACCCCGAUUGCGAAGGCAGCCUGCCAAGCCAUUACUGACGCUGAUGCACGAAAGCGUGGGGAUCAAACAGGAUUAGAUACCCUGGUAGUCCACGCAGUAAACGAUGAUCACUAGCUGUUUGCGAUACACUGUAAGCGGCACAGCGAAAGCGUUAAGUGAUCCACCUGGGGAGUACGCCGGCAACGGUGAAACUCAAAGGAAUUGACGGGGGCCCGCACAAGCGGAGGAACAUGUGGUUUAAUUCGAUGAUACGCGAGGAACCUUACCCGGGUUUGAACGCAUUCGGACCGAGGUGGAAACACCUUUUCUAGCAAUAGCCGUUUGCGAGGUGCUGCAUGGUUGUCGUCAGCUCGUGCCGUGAGGUGUCGGCUUAAGUGCCAUAACGAGCGCAACCCUUGCCACUAGUUACUAACAGGUUAGGCUGAGGACUCUGGUGGGACUGCCAGCGUAAGCUGCGAGGAAGGCGGGGAUGACGUCAAAUCAGCACGGCCCUUACAUCCGGGGCGACACACGUGUUACAAUGGCGUGGACAAAGGGAUGCCACCUGGCGACAGGGAGCGAAUCCCCAAACCACGUCUCAGUUCGGAUCGGAGUCUGCAACCCGACUCCGUGAAGCUGGAUUCGCUAGUAAUCGCGCAUCAGCCAUGGCGCGGUGAAUACGUUCCCGGGCCUUGUACACACCGCCCGUCAAGCCAUGGGAGCCGGGGGUACCUGAAGUCCGUAACCGAAAGGAUCGGCCUAGGGUAAAACUAGUGACUGGGGCU